UACAGAGGUCUCAAGCGUUGUUCGGAUUCAUUGGGCGUAAAGGGCGCGUAGGUGGCGCGGUAAGUCGGGUGUGAAAUUUCGGAGCUUAACUCCGAAACUGCAUUCGAUACUGCCGUGCUUGAGGACUGGAGAGGAGACUGGAAUUUACGGUGUAGCAGUGAAAUGCGUAGAUAUCGAUAAGGAAGACCAGUGGCGAAGGCGGCAUACUGGACCAACUACUGACGCUGAUGCGCGAAAGCCAGGGGAGCGAACGGG
rnacentral:rRNA from 1 species